rnacentral:rRNA from 1 species
CUGCUGCCUUCCGUAGGAGUUUGGGCCGUGUCUCAGUCCCAAUGUGGCCGAUCAACCUCUCAGUUCGGCUACGCAUCAUUGCCUUGGUAAGCCUUUACCCCACCAACUAGCUAAUGCGUCGCGGGCCCAUCCAAAAGCGGUAGCAUAGCCACCUUUUACAUAGUUACCAUGCGGUAACUAUGGUUAUGCGGUAUUAGCACCUGUUUCCAAGUGUUAUCCCCCUCUUUUGGGCAGGUUGCCCACGUGUUACUCACCCGUUCGCCA